rnacentral:rRNA from 1 species
UACGUAGGGUGCAAGCGUUGUCCGGAAUUUAUUGGGCGUAAAGAGCUCGUAGGCGGUCUGUCGCGUCUGCUGUGAAAACUCAGGGCUUAACCCUGAGCUUGCAGUGGGUACGGGCAGACUAGAGUGCGGUAGGGGAGACUGGAAUUCCUGGUGUAGCGGUGAAAUGCGCAGAUAUCAGGAGGAACACCGGUGGCGAAGGCGGGUCUCUGGGCC